rnacentral:rRNA from 1 species
AUUCAACGCUGGCGGCAGGCCUAACACAUGCAAGUCGAACGAGUGGCGGACGGGUGAGUAAUGUCUGGAAAACUGCCUGAUGGAGGGGGAUAACUACUGGAAACGGUAGCUAAUACCGCAUACCAUCGGAUCUGCCCAGAUGGGAUUAGGUAGUAGGUGGGGGAAAGGCUCACCUAGGCGACGCUCGCUAGCUCGUCUGAGAGGAUGACCAGCCAUACUGGAACUGAGACACGGUCCAGACUCUUACGUGAGUCAGCAGUGGGGAAUAUUGCACCGUGGGCGCAAGCCUGAUGCAGCCAUGCCGCGUGUAUGAAGAAGGCCUUCGGGUUGUAAAGUUCUUUCAGCGGGGAGGCGUUACCCGCAGAAGAAGCACCGGCUAACUCCGUGCCAGCAGCCGCGGUGAUAC